UGGGGAAUAUUGGACAAUGGGCGCAAGCCUGACCCAGCCAUGCCGCGUGAGUGAUGAAGGCCCUAGGGUUGUAAAGCUCUUUCACCGGUGAAGAUAAUGACGGUAACCGGAGAAGAAGCCCCGGCUAACUUCGUGCCAGCAGCCGCGGUAAUACGAAGGGGGCUAGCGUUGUUCGGAUUUACUGGGCGUAAAGCGCACGUAGGCGGACUAUUAAGUCAGGGGUGAAAUCCCGGGGCUCAACCCCGGAACUGCCUUUGAUACUGGUAGUCUUGAGUUCGAGAGAGGGGAGUGGAAUUCCGAGUGUAGAGGUGAAAUUCGUAGAUAUUCGGGGGAACACCAGUGGCGAAGGCGGCUCACUGGCUCGAUACUGACGCUGAGGUGCGAAAGCGUGGGGAGCAAACAGG
rnacentral:rRNA from 1 species